UACGAAGGGGGCUAGCGUUGCUCGGAAUUAUUGGGCGUAAAGCGCACGUAGGCGGUUCGUUAUGUCGGAUGUGAAAGCCCUUGGCUUAACCGAGGAAGUGCAUCCGAAACUGGCGAGCUAGAGUACUAAGGAGGAUCGCGGAAUUCCCGGUGUAGAGGUGAAAUUCGUAGAUAUCGGGAGGAACACCGGUGGCGAAGGCGGCGAUCUGGGUAGAUACUGACGCUGAGGUGCGAAAGCGUGGGGAUCAAACAGG
rnacentral:rRNA from 1 species